UCGUCUUCGGAGCAUUUACGAGGUGCUGCAUGGUUGUCGUCAGCUCGUGCCGUGAGGUGUCGGGUUAAGUCCCAUAACGAGCGCAACCCUACCUUAGUUGCCAUCAGGUUAAGCUGGGGACUCUAAAGGAACUGCCUACGCAAGUAGUGAGGAAGGCGGGGAUGACGUCAAAUCAGCACGGCCCUUACGUCCAGGGCUACACACGUGCUACAAUGGCCGAUACAGAGGGCAGCUACCUGGUGACAGGAUGCAAAUCUCCAAAGUCGGUCUCAGUUCGGAUCGGAGUCUGCAACCCGACUCCGUGAAGUUGGAUUCGCUAGUAAUCGCGCAUCAGCCAUGGCGCGGUGAAUACGUUCCCGGGCCUU
rnacentral:rRNA from 1 species